UACGGGGGGGGCAAGCGUUGUUCGGAAUUACUGGGCGGAAAGGGCUCGUAGGCGGCCAACUAAGUCGGAUGUGAAAUCCCCAGGCUUAACCUGGGAACUGCAUCCGAUACUGGAUGGCUUGAAUCCGGGAGAGGAAUGCGGAAUUCCAGGUGUAGCGGUGAAAUGCGUAGAUAUCUGGAGGAACACCGGUGGCGAAGGCGGCAUUCUGGACCGAUAUUGACGCUGAGGAGCGAAAGCCAGGGGAGCAAACGGG
rnacentral:rRNA from 1 species